rnacentral:rRNA from 1 species
GCGCGAAAACUUUACAAUGCUGGCAACAGCGAUAAGGGAACCUCGAGUGCCAGGUCACAAAUCUGGCUGUCGAGAUGCCUAAAAAGCAUUCCAUAGCAAGGGCCGGGCAAGACCGGUGCCUGCCGCCGCGGUAACACCGGCGGCUCGAGUGGUAACCGUUAUUAUUGGGUCUAAAGGGUCUGUAGCCGGCCGGAUAAGUCUCUUGAGAAAUCUGGCAGCUUAACUGUCAGGCUUUCAGGAGAUACUGUCUGGCUCGAGGCCGGGAGAGGUGAGAGGUACUUCAGGGGUAGGGGUGAAAUCUUGUAAUCCUUGAAGGACCACCAGUGGCGAAGGCGUCUCACCAGAACGGACCUGACGGCAAGGGACGAAAGCUAGGGGCACGAACC